CCCGUUGUAGCUCAAUGGCUAGAGCGGUCGCCUGUAGAGCGACAGGUUGGGUGUUCAAUUCACCCCAACGGGA
rnacentral:tRNA from 1 species